CUGAAGCAUUCAGAUAUAUAUAUAUAUAUAUGUGUGUGUGUGUGUGUGUGUGUGUGUGUAUACACACACAAACACAUUUAUAAUAGUACAUGUAGA
rnacentral:miRNA from 1 species